rnacentral:tRNA from 1 species
GCCCCCUUCGUCUAGAGGCCCAGGACGCGGCCCUCUCAAGGCCGAAACAGGGGUUCGAAUCCCCUAGGGGGCA